rnacentral:rRNA from 1 species
UGCGUAGGGUGCAAGCGUUGUCCGGAAUUAUUGGGCGUAAAGAGCUCGUAGGCGGUUUGUCACGUCUGCUGUGAAAACUCAGGGCUUAACCCUGAGCUUGCAGUGGGUACGGGCAGACUAGAGUGCGGUAGGGGAGACUGGAAUUCCUGGUGUAGCGGUGAAAUGCGCAGAUAUCAGGAGGAACACCGGUGGCGAAGGCGGGUCUCUGGGCCGUAACUGACGCUGAGGAGCGAAAGCAUGGGGAGCGAACAGG